UACAAAUCUGUAUUCUCUAAUUGCUAUAAUAAAAUUGUAUAAAUCAUUAUUAGCACACAAGACCAGACUAGCUCUACUUAUUGUAAACACUUCUGGGAGUGACGACAAUAACAAAAAAGAUUUAGAAAACAUGAAAAAGUUGAAAUGCUCUUCGUAAUCAACAAGCUCAACCUUAGGACAAUAGAAAGGUGCAGAGAGCAGCAAGGAGGACAAGAAAUUUGCCCACUCAAAAAAAAAAACACUAUGACCUGAGGAAAGAGAACAACAAUAGGUCAAGAAGGGCAAAAAAUUUGUCCAUUCAGAAAAAAAAUACUAUGAUCCGAGAAAAUGAAGCUCGAGUACAUAUAUAUCUAAAUACAGAGAUAUAGACACACUCUGCUUGUUCUACUGUCUUUUUAGUAUUUCGAUGGAUUGAUCGAAUUGUUCUACAAUUACUUUUUAAUGCUGGGAAUUAUUUUCUUUCUUCCUUUG